AAUCCAAACUGCAACAACAAAAUCAUUUGAUUCUUCUCACAAGUCAAGACAAAAUUUCCAAAACCUAAAAUCUUAAUUCUUAAAUUCUUAAACUUAAAUCUUAUUGGUAAAUAAUUAAUGAUUAAUAAAAAAACGAUAGCUUUCGGGAUAGUCUGGAUGGUUCAAUACAUUUCAUAGAUUUCAUAAGGUGAAAUUAAUUGUUUUGUGGUCAAUCACAAUGGCCGGUUGUUUAUGUCGUCUCAUCGGAUAAUAAAGUAAGUGGAGGACGAUUUCAUCAUUGCCAUUGGGUCCAACCGAACAUCCAGCAAACAACCGAAAGACUUCUCCAAAACCGGAAUCACAAACACUAAUGAUACUGUAUAGGAUGUGUAAAGCAAAAGUGGGUGAUAAUCCAGUUGCAGCAAAACUAUCACAACCACUUUGAGAGGAAUACUGCGGAAUCAGCGGAAUCACGCACACUUUAUUCAUUUGGAGAAGUAAAUACUCAACCAAGAGCUGUUGAAAAUAAACAAUUUUUCGUACCAGAUGCCCGACAUCCCGGGAUUCGAAUAUGAAAAGACCAGAAUUGACGACGAGGAUGAGUCUUCUGGUGAAAUUUAGGGAAUACGUUCUGCUACGACAGCAGCCGGAUAGUACAGUAGACAAUCGGCAGUCCUAGUUUCGAAAAGCGUGGCCUGUACAACAACCUCAGCAUAAUCGAGAUCAUUCCGCAUCUCAACAACAGUAUUCCCAGCACCGGAUACCUCAUUCAUGUAUCAA